rnacentral:rRNA from 1 species
AGAGUUUGAUCAUGGCUCAGGACGAACGCUGGCGGCGUGCCUAACACAUGCAAGUCGAGCGGAGCAGUAGCAAUACUGCUUAGCGGCGGACGGGUGAGUAACACGUGGGUAACCUGCCCUAUGAUGGGGGAUAGCCAGCCGAAAGGUUGAUUAAUACCGCAUAAUUACAGAAAGCCGCAUGGCUUUCUGUUUAAAGGAGUAAUUCGUCAUAGGAUGGACCCGCGGCCCAUUAGCUAGUUGGUGAGAUAACAGCCCACCAAGGCGACGAUGGGUAGCCGACCUGAGAGGGUGAUCGGCCACAUUGGAACUGAGACACGGUCCAGACUCCUACGGGAGGCAGCAGUGGGGAAUAUUGCGCAAUGGGGGAAACCCUGACGCAGCAACGCCGCGUGAGUGAAGAAGGCCUUCGGGUCGUAAAGCUCUGUCUUUGGGGACGAAUAAUGACGGUACCCAAGGAGGAAGCCACGGCUAACUACGUGCCAGCAGCCGCGGUAAUACGUAGGUGGCGAGCGUUGUCCGGAAUUACUGGGCGUAAGGGGUGCGUAGGCGGUUUCUUAAGUCAGAUGUGAAAUCCCAGGGCUCAACUCUGGAGUGGCAUUUGAAACUGGGGAGCUAGAGUGCAGGAGAGGAAAGCGGAAUUCCUAGUGUAGCGGUGAAAUGCGUAGAUAUUAGGAAGAACACCAGUGGCGAAGGCGGCUUUCUGGACUGUAACUGACGCUGAGGCACGAAAGCGUGGGGAGCAAACAGGAUUAGAUACCCUGGUAGUCCACGCUGUAAACGAUGAGUGCUAGGUGUAGGGGGUGUCAUGCCUUCUGUGCCGCAGUAAACGCAAUAAGCACUCCGCCUGGGGAGUACGGUCGCAAGACUAAAACUCAAAUGAAUUGACGG